rnacentral:rRNA from 1 species
ACUGGCAGGCUAGAGUCUUGUAGAGGGGGGUAGAAUUCCAGGUGUAGCGGUGAAAUGCGUAGAGAUCUGGAGGAAUACCGGUGGCGAAGGCGGCCCCCUGGACAAAGACUGACGCUCAGGUGCGAAAGCGUGGGGAGCAAACAGGAUUAGAUACCCUGGUAGUCCACGCCGUAAACGAUGUCGAUUUGGAGGUUGUGCCCUUGAGGCGUGGCUUCCGGAGCUAACGCGUUAAAUCGACCGCCUGGGGAGUACGGCCGCAAGGUUAAAACUCAAAUGAAUUGACGGGGGCCCGCACAAGCGGUGGAGCAUGUGGUUUAAUUCGAUGCAACGCGAAGAACCUUACCUGGUCUUGACAUCCACAGAACUUUC